CCACGGGUGGGUAACACGUAUCCAACCUGCCGUCUACUCUUGGGCAGCCUUCUGAAGGAAGAUUAAUCCAGGAUGGCAUCAUGAGUUCACAUGUCCGCAUGAUUAAAGGUAUUUCCGGUAGACGAUGGGGAUGCGUUCCAUUAGAUAGUAGGCGGGGUAACGGCCCACCUAGUCAUCGAUGGAUAGGGGUUCUGAGAGGAAGGUCCCCCACAUUGGAACUGAGACACGGUCCAA
rnacentral:rRNA from 1 species